GAUCAUGGCUCAGGAUGAACGCUAGCUACAGGCUUAACACAUGCAAGUCGAGGGGCAGCAUGGUCUUAGCUUGCUAAGGCCGAUGGCGACCGGCGCACGGGUGAGUAACACGUAUCCAACCUGCCGUCUACUCUUGGACAGCCUUCUGAAAGGAAGAUUAAAUACAAGAUGGCAUCAUGAGUCCACAUGUUCACAUAGAUUAAAGGUAUUCCGGUAGACGAUGGGG
rnacentral:rRNA from 1 species